rnacentral:rRNA from 1 species
GCGGCUACUGCUAUCAGGUUUCGACUAAGCCAUGCGAGUCAAGGGGUCGUAAGACACCGGCGUACUGCUCAGUAACACGCGGACAAUCUACCCCCAGGUGGAGGAUAACCUCGGGAAACUGAGGCUAAUACCCCAUAGUUGUCAUGUGCUGGAAUGCUUUGACGAUGAAAGAAUUUCGCCUGAGGAUAAGUCUGCGGCCUAUCAGGUAGUAUGUGGUGUAAAGGACCACAUAGCCUAAGACGGGUACGGGCCUUGAAAGAGGGAGCCCGGAGAUGGACUCUGAGACACUAGUCCAGGCCCUACGGGGCGCAGCAGGCGCGAAAACUGUGCAAUGCGCGCAAGCGCGACACGGGAAGCCUGAGUGCCUUAACUAUGUUAAGGCUUUUCUUGAUCCUAAAAAGCUCAAGGAAUAAGAGCUGGGUAAGACGGGUGCCAGCCGCCGCGGUAACACCCGCGGCUCGAGUGGUAGUCACUUUUAUUGAGCCUAAAGCGUUUGUAGCCGGAUUUGUAAAUCUCUAGGAAAAUACUUCUGCUUAACUGAAGAAAUUUUGGAGAGACUGCAAAUCUAGGGACCGGGUGAGGUUGAAUGUACUUCUGGGGUAGGGGUAAAAUCCUGUAAUCCUGGAAGGACGACCGGUGGCGAAGGCGUUCAACUAGAACGGAUCCGACGGUGAGGAACGAAGGCUAGGGGAGCAAACCGGAUUAGAUACCCGGGUAGUCCUAGCUGUAAACACUGCCCACUUGAUGUUGCUUUUCCGUUGAGGGAAGGCAGUGUCGGAGCGAAGGUGUUAAAUGGGCCGCUUGGGAAGUAUGGUCGCAAGACUGAAACUUAA